UAAACACAGACAGUUCACAUACCCUACUGUCCGCCCGGGAACUACGAGCAUCAGCUUAAAACCCAAAGGACUUGGCGGUGCUUUAAACCCACCUAGAGGAGCCUGUUCUAGAACCGAUAAUCCCCGUUCAACCUCACCCUUCCUUGUUCUUUCCGCCUAUAUACCACCGUCGUCAGUUUACCCUGUGAAGGUCAAACAGUAAGCACAAUCGGCAUAGCCCAAAACGUCAGGUCGAGGUGUAGCGUAUGGAAGGGGAAGAAAUGGGCUACAUUCCCUGAAGUCAGGGCAUACGGAUGACAUACUGAAAUGCAUGUCUGAAGGAGGAUUUAGNAGUAAGCAGGAA
rnacentral:rRNA from 1 species